UCCUGUGGAGUGCUACAGUGUCAGCAGAAGUCUACCUGCUGCAGCCCUGCCCCGCAACCAGCUGCUGUGGGACGGAGAAAAUCCGUACCCUCCGGUAAUUCCGCGUUCACGACCGACCAAACGCCUCCCUGCCUCGACUGACUCUUAGCAAAAAAAAAAUCUCCUCAGGUAGCGUGAAGUACAUCUUUAAGGGAUUUUAAAAAAGGUUUUGUUCGCAGCCGAAAAGGGAGAAAUGACGGAACAAAAGAACUUUUCCGAAGUUAUUACUCAGAUAUUACAAGAGGCGCCAGAAGCCAAAAAACAUCUUGGUGAUAACCACAGCAACCUCCUGCGAGUGGCAGAUUACUGCGAAAACAAUUAUCUUCAGGCAGAGGAUCAAAACAAGGCUGUUGAAGAAGCCAAGGCUUUGGCUACCCAGGCGCUGGCCAGUGUGACCUACCAGAUCAACAGUCUGGCCACCACUGUGCUGAGACUGCUGGACUCACAGGCCAUGCAGGUUAAAGAUAUGGAGUCCUCUGUCAAUUUGCUCUCACUGGCUGCAGCUAUCCACUUUGAGAAGGUAGCCAGGAGAGAGAUUGGGGUUUUUACUACUCCCAAAAACAGGAGUCGCUCCAAGCUCAUGACCCCGCCGCCCUCAGGCAAGGAGCCAGAGAGAGGCUACUCAAGAGUGCCAAUAUCAUACUCCAUCUUGGACUCCAUUGGACAUUGUUUUCAGGUCACUGAGGCACAGCCCAGAAAGAGAGCAGACAGCAUACAGAGUACUGCAGACACCCCUGUAUCCAGUCUGGGCAUCGCUGUGCCUCCACCAUCAGUCCCCACCCGGCAAACUGUCACCAACCCCACCAACGAUGGCCUGCCUCCCCCUCCUCCUCCUAACGCUGACCUGGUCUCAGCUCCUCCACCUCCCCCUUCCUCCAUGGACGCUGGCCUCCCCCCUCCGCCCUCCUUGACUUCACCCACAUGUCUCCCCCCACCUCCCCCUCCGCUGGCUACCAGUCCAUCAAAUGGCACCUACCCACCUCCGCCUCCCCCUGUAGGAGGAGGUUCCCCUCUUCCUCCUCCACCCCCGCCUCCACCGUCAUCAGGAGCUGGUCCUCUUCCACCUCUGCCUCCACCCCCACCAGUGUCAGGAGCUGUGCCCCCUCCCCCUCCUCCCCCUCCUCCUCCUCCUCCUCCACCGCUUCAUACUGGCACCUCUGGUAAUGUGCCACCACCUCCACCACCGCCUCCUCCACCUCCUCCUCUCCUACAUUAACAAACAACUUUGUUUUAUUUUUGCCAAAGUAAAGCAAUUAAGAGUGUGAGUAGCCAUUCUUGGUUUAUACUAUGAGAUGGUUAUGUAAAACUUGUGUAGCAAGUAAGACAUUUUCAAGCCUGUUUUGAGAUCAACAUUAAGCAUAAAUAAAAGUUCGAAAGCAUGUUUGUAUUGGUAUAACCUCAAGCCAUUUCAUCUGUGUUGAAUGGCACAGUAAGAGCCUCAAAUGAUAUUUUUUCUAGGAGAGAAAAUCCCACUUCAGACUAAAACAUUCUGCUGUGCUGAACAUGUUUCAACAACACCUUGACUGCAUUCCUAAGAAACAUGCUGAAACAGGGAUUCAUGCACUUCCAAGUUAUCCUCUUAGUUUUUUCCUGUAAUGUGAUUCCCCUUUUUUAUUACAUCUUUGUGUAAUUACAAUGUUGCCUAAUCAGUAAGAGUCACCUUAAAAGUCAGUGGCCUUCAAUGCAACACUGCAUGGUGAGAGAGGUGUCAAUGAUGAUGUUGUUUUACGUCACUGGCUGCAACCUCGGUGAGUUCUGCUACUUAAAACAGGUCAAUGAGGCUGUAAAAUGUCUGUUGCAAGUCAGCACUCUACUCAACCUGCACUACAUGGCUGGUACUUGAAGUUGUGAAACCUGAUUUUGAAAAUAAAACUGCCAUGGUCAUUUAUUAUCCUACACUUGAGAUUCCCUUGUUGUGUUUCUGUAUCAUUCUGUGGAUUUUUUGUUGCCACACUGCAAAGAAACAUAGAGAAACACAAGGCUGGCCCCGGAGGUCCCGACACUCUCCUUCUGUAUAUUUCAUCCCGAUAUAUGAAGAGGAGUGGCAAAACGAAGAGGACGAGGAAGUAAUGGACGAAUAUGAACCAUAUUUUCAGUUUCCUUACACAGACCCUCCCAUGUACAGCUUAAGGAAUCUUGAUCCACCAUCCUACACAGACCCUCCACCAUCCUACACAGACCCUUCCACCUAUCCUACACAGACCCUCCACCAUCCUACACAGACCUUCCACUAUCCUACACAGAUCCUUCCACCAUCCUACACAGACCCUCCGGUUCAUUCAGAGCAGCCCUGAUCCUCCUCACCUCCACCCUCCUCCACUUCAAAUGCCCUCUAGCCUGAACAUAUUUGACUUUUUUUUUUUAAAGGGCAGGUUGAUGGAAUCAAAUAAGGGUCAACAUGGUCAAUGUUUGAGUUUCAAAUUCAAACAGCAUAUCAUAAAUGAAAGUGAGGUUAUGAAAAGAAAACAAACUCAAGGCAGCGAACCGUGAAACUGAUAGUUCCCACUCUGCGACACUGAAAUGACUCACGAUCCACUAAUUUACAAGUACAAAUUUUAACCUUCUUUUUACAGCCAAAAUCAGGGUCAAAAUUAUUUGCAUUUCAACUUUACUUUUGUACUUCCUGCUUAAAUCUUCUAAACCAGAUGUUCAAAAAAAAAAAAAGUCAGUUCAUGGUCAUGGUUCAUGUUUUUUCAUGGUCCCUCUGUAACCUCACUGUUGCUAUUACUUUUGCACUAUUUUUAUUUAUUGGAGACAUUCCCAGCUGUUUUCUACAACUACAAAUCCCAUCUACAUGUUCUCUUUGCAGCUUUUGAAAAGAUUUCAUGCAUACAAAGAUUUUGAAAGUCUUCCUGAACAUUAUUAAAAUCUAAAUCUUUUUGGCACUUAUUUGAACCCGUAGAGCUUACAGUAACUUUUAGUACAUGUAUGUUGUUAUAUUCUUUGUUUUGGAAAAUAAUGCACAUGGAAAUGAUCCCCUAUGUGAAAGGAGUAUCUUUAUUUGACUGACACAACUACUUAAUCAUAUGUGUCAUAUGUACAGUAGCCAUGGACGAUAUGAAAAUUACAUAUCAACAUAUCCUGGCUAACAUAAUUGCAAUUAAUGAUAUCAUUGCGAUAAUCAGGAAAAUAUCCUUUAAACUCUUAAAAUGCCUAAAACACACUGAAAACGCU